rnacentral:lncRNA from 1 species
CUGCCAGCUGUGGGUGUGGCACGAUGGGUGUGGUAAAACUGGGCAUGGGACAGGGGGGAGAUCGCUGGGCAGGGUAGUGACAGCUGGGGUGUGGCAUUGUCCUGUAUGUCACUGUAACACUGUCACUGUCACUGACACUGUCAUUGUCACUGCCCCCUCAGCCUUACACUGUCACUGUCACUGUCACUGUCACUGUCACUGUCACUGCCCCCUCAGUGUCACCGUGACACUGUCACUGUCACCAUCACUGUCACUGUCACCAUCACUGCCCCCUCAGCCUCACACUGUCACUGUCAUUGUCACCGUCACUGUCACUGUCACUGCU